UACGUAGGGUGCGAGCGUUGUCCGGAAUUACUGGGCGUAAAGAGCUCGUAGGUGGUUUGUCGCGUUGUUCGUGAAAACUCACAGCUCAACUGUGGGCGUGCGGGCGAUACGGGCAGACUGGAGUACUGCAGGGGAGACUGGAAUUCCUGGUGUAGCGGUGAAAUGCGCAGAUAUCAGGAGGAACACCGGCGGCGAAGGCGGGUCUCUGGGCCGUAACUGACACUGAGGAGCGAAAGCGUGGGGAGCGAACAGG
rnacentral:rRNA from 1 species